GAGGGUAUAGCUCAGUGGCAGAGUGUGUGCUUAACAUGCACCAAGUCCUGGGUUCAGACUGCAGUACCUCCA
rfam:Camelus ferus unplaced genomic scaffold scaffold49641, whole genome shotgun sequence.